GUCUUUUUGAGUUUAAUAUAAAGUCUCGCCUGCCCACUGAUUAUUUAAAGGGCUGCGGUAUUUUGACCGUACAAAGGUAGCAUAAUCAAUAGUUUCUUAAUUAGAAGCUGGAAUGAAUGGUUGGAUAAGAAAAUGACUGUCUCAAUUUUAUUUGUAUAGAAAUUUAUUUUUAAGUUAAAAAGCUUAAAUGAUUUUAAAAGACGAGAAGACCCUAUAGAGUUUAAUAAUUUUAUUUAAUUUAAAAAAUUAGAAUUAAUUUAUAAUUUAAAUUAAAUUAUUUGAUUGGGGUGAUUGAAAAAUUUAAUAAACUUUUUUUAUUGUUAAACAUAUAUUUAUGAUUAUUUGAUCCAUAUGAUUUGAUUAUAAGAAUAAAUUACCUUAGGGAUAACAGCGUAAUUUUUUUUGAGAGUUCUUAUUGAAAAAAGAGAUUGCGACCUCGAUGUUGGAUUAAAGUUAAUGUUUGGUGUAGAAGCUAAAUUAUUAAGUCUGUUCGACUUUUAAAACUUUACAUGAUCUGAGUUU
rnacentral:rRNA from 1 species